rnacentral:lncRNA from 1 species
UGGAACCCAGGAGUUCAAGACCAUCCUGGGUAAGAUAACAGCACCUCAGAGAAGAUUUGGAAAAUAAAUGAGCUGAUGAGAGCAAUUUUCUGCUUCCUGGGCCACCACAGUCUUCUUUGCUGUUUUUGAUUGCAACCAUUUUCAGAGAAGAAUCAACACCAAAGCCUCAAUACCUGAAACAGAGCUGGCAUGUGGCAUAUCCUCAGAAACAUUUGCUAAAUGACACCUAGUCUAUAGGAGGAGGACUCAUUCUUAACCAUUAGAUUUAGCCAUGCAGAAGUCAGAUCAAGAGUAAACAGAGCAAGAACAGUUUUGGUGCUGUGAUGGGUCAAAAGCCUGAGUCAGAUUACAUGUAUAUAAAUUACCUAGUAACGAGCAUGACCUCUGUCCAAGCAGAAGGCAAGCAGGGGAGAAGAUUUAGCUGCUCAACUACAGUUAUUCUCUCAACCCAAGCUAAGGUGGUACAAGGAAGAAUGGCAGAUUGGCAGAUUGGGUGGCCAGGAGGCUUCACAGAGACCCCGUUGAGAAUCCAGUAAAACCUAUGGUUCCUCUUUUAAGAAAAAUACAUGGGCACGCACAAAAAAACCUUAGUGUUUGUUUCCCUGGUCUUUGUUUCCACACAUGCCCUGAAGCCCAGCUGUGAUGCAGGUUAAGAAUCUCUACCCUGGAUUCCAAAGUGAUAGGAAGAACAGGAAAUGAUCUAUGGAACUCAGCACUUUUCUUCCAGGGAUUCCUUCAAGGCUCCGUGAUGUGAUGGGAGCUCUGCUGUAAGUAAAGCACUAAUCAGUGAGGAGAGAGAGUAGUUCAUCUUCCAGAAGUUUGCCCUCCACACCCUUCUCCAGUCAUCAGGGAACAAUACCACCAUGCAGGUAGUUCCUCCAGUCAUUACUAGAAAGAAACAACGAAGAGUAGCUUGUUUCAUCUCUUCCCAGACUAGAAGCGAUGGGAACCAUAUGUUUGCAACCUAUAGGGUUUUGUGGCAGCUGUUCACUCACUGCGGUAAC